rnacentral:lncRNA from 1 species
GCCUUGCCACACUUUUGACGGUAUUACUAAAACUUUGUCACAUGCUGCAGAAGGUUGCAUCCAUUUCCAAACCAAGAACUCAGCACCACCUAUUCUCCGUGUCUCUGUGCGAACUCGAGAUUCAUUUGCCGCUAAGAAGUCAACUGCUCUACUCCAGACUUUCCUCAUUUUCCUCCUGUCCUGAGCUGGUAUUAGAGAAUCAUGCACAUGUAGAAUAGGCAUAUAAGGCUGCAAGUCUUUAUUUUCAGAACAUGCCUCACUGUGACUUCUUAGAACAUCUAUGAUUUUUACCACCAUAUCAUACAUCUGCCUCGUUUCCUCUUCUUCUUUUGCCCAACGAUAUUUCAUGUAGUGCAAGACUCCCCAAACAAUCGCUACACCUAAAAGCGGUAUUGAUAACCUAUGAGUUACGCUAAUAAACGCACGGCGAAAACGACACCUGAAAGACAUCUUUGGACUAGUGGAUUCCAGGUACUUCACAUCCGUCACAUUAGUGACAUCCACAUCAUUAGGGUCACUGCCAAGACACUUUAUGCCAACAUCUUCCCCACUACUCAAUAUCCACUGUAGUGCUGUGUUAAAUACACUUUCAUAUUCUGGAUCUAUAUUUUUCAAAUACGCAGCUGCCUCCUGGACGGUAAGGUUUCUUUGAACAGAGCUGCCACAUUCAUGUUUCCCUGCGACUUGUGCCAAUUUAUCAUGAAGUGCAUAUAAGCUGUUCAUCAUAAGACUUCUUUCAUCUUCUUCUAUGUUUUGUAGUUCUCCACUGAAGGGAUUCUUGACUGCAAAAACUUCCACAGCACUUCUGCCAGGAGACAGAUGUUGACCCACUUCACUGUUGGCUCCCACAUCCUCAGCUACUCCAG